AUUCAAAAUUCAAAAUUAAAAAUAAAUUAAAAAAUGUUUUGGCUAAUAUAUUGUUCGGAUUAUUUACAGAAUACAGUUAAUUAAUAAGUCCACUUCAAAUAAUAAAAUGAACUUUAAGAAUUAAUAUCAAUUAAAUUAACAAAUAUGGUGUAAUAUAUAAAUCUCGCUCCCUCUAUAAUUUUAAAAAUUAUAGAUGAUAAUAAAAAAUUUAUUUAAAAAACUUUUAUUUAAAUAUUGAAGAGUACCCGAAGAGAACAAUAUGGUAAAAUUCGCUUAGAGAAAGAUAACAUGAAAGGAUUACAAGACGAAUACAUGGGAUAAGGAAUGGAAAAGGUGGGAGUGAGUGUGGGGAUGAGGGAAAGGGGAGGGGUGGGAGUAAUUUGAAACUGACCAGGAUCCAGUCGAAGAAACCUAUCCACUUCAAGGUAACGAGUCCAAAGGUCGAUUGGACUUAAAUUGGUGUGUGCAUUAUAGCAUUAUUAAUUUUAAACAGUUGAAUUGAAAACCACCUGAGGAAAAACACUGCAUGACGAUGAUGAUGAUUUAGAUCCAGUUGACUGUUACGCUUUUUGGACUUAACACAUUUUAAGACAAUGAUAUCAAAUAGCCGACUUUAACUGUUAGGAGAAACGUUAGUGAAGUGAGCCUAUUUUAAAGCAAUCGAAAUCACUCACGCUAAAUAAAUCAGUGAAUGGGAAAAUGGAAGUCACAACCUAAUUGUAUUUGGUCUGCUUAUGUCACAGAGCUAAACUAAGCAGAUGUCGUCUAUUUGAAAUCAAACAUAAUGUUUCUUCGACUUAACUUAUCUUUGGGAAAAUGUGGUCAUAAUGUGGUCUUAACUGCUAAAGUAAAGCGUCAGUGGUAAUGGAUACAUCGCAAACACUCUUACGGCUGAAUAAACUAGAGCAUAAAAGAAUAGAGAUCACAAUAUAACACUAAUUUGGUGAUAGUCGAAGAUCUGCACAUGUUACUGAGCUAAACUUGUUAAGAUGUCAUCUAUACAGAAUCAUGCAUUAUGCUUUUCAUGAACUUAAUGGCAGUAUUAAGUUUGCUAUUACAAAUGAUGAAUUGUAGUUGGUUCAAGAUUCACGAAUUAUUGAUACGAUUCCGAUUUUUCAAAUCAAUGGGUUAUGGGUCAUUUAUACAUUGUCCAAAGCUGUUAUAGCACCUUACAUACAUCGCUCGUACAACUUCAUUCAAAUCAACUGCUUGACCGUUACAAAUGUUUGCUCUUGGUCCAUGGUUUAAUUUCUUGUAUCCGAUUUUAGAUUUGGAUUAUGCAUCCAAACUUAGCUUCAGCAUAGUCAAAACCUGUCACCAUCUAUGUAGAUAUAUAAUGGGACUGAACUUUAGCACAUAUAAUGUGACUUUAAAUUAUGAGAUGAAGCCUUAGGAAAGCUGAAGGAUGUUUGCUAUUGGUUCAUGGUAUAAUUUCUUGUAUCCGAUUUUAGUUUUGGAUUAUGCAUCCAAACUUAGCUUCACCAUUCUCAAAAUCUGUCACCAUCUACAUAGAUAUAUAAUGGGACUGGCAUGGGAUAGCACAUAUAAUGUGACUUUAUGUGACUUUAAUUAUGACAUGAAGCAUUAGGAAAGCUGAAGGAUCAGUUUUUCCGACUUUUUUCACAGUAAAGAAAACCUAAGAAAGCCGAAUCAAUCAAAUGAUUCAUAUGAUAUGUUGUAAAAAUCUACAACAUAUCGUAAAGAAAAAUUUGAAUAUAAAUACGAUUAAAAUGGGUAGACGGAGACGAAUAAAAAUAGAAGGAAGACAGCUCUUGAUUGGAGCAUCGCAUCUUCAAAUUGUUAAACCUUGAAUCGAAUGCAAACGGAUCAAGAGAAAAAAUUGGAAGCAAAUGUUCGGUUAGUGAUUAGUUUCUUCUAACGGAUCUUUCUAAAUGCUUUAAUUGAUUAUUGUGUUUAUUGGGUGUUACUCAUAUGAGGAAUGUGUGGCCAUAACGAAGAUCUCAACUGUUACAAGAAACCGAAGCGUAGUUAGACCAAAGAAAGCAGUUUCGAAGCAAUCAAAUUUACGUUUAUGACUACAUAAACAUAAAUGAAAAUGAAUGAAGGAGCAUGAAAAAAAGAGGUUGCAACAUGUCAUAAGUAAUCAUUUGGUAUUGGAUGCACACAUGUCACUGGAUGUUAGUGGAAUUUAGUGGAUGUUAGCUAUACCAAAUUGAGCACUAUGCUUUUCAUGCUAAUUCUAGAACACCAGUAAAGUUUUGCCAUUACAAAUUACGAACUAUAGUUGCUUUAUGAUAAACGAAUUAUUCGCUCGAUACCGAUCUUCCAAGUUAAUUGAUCAUAUUAAGGGUUUAUCGAGACCCUCACUGCAGAUACAAUUAGAAUUAUUCUAAGCAAGAGUUUUGAUUUGAUGCUUCUGAAGAAGCGCUCUGAAGAAUGAUUCUUAUAAGAAAACUGCGAAAGCCUAUGUUAUCGAAAACCAACGAUUUACCUUUAACAUACGGCAUAGCAAAAUUUGAAAAUACUGGGUAGUGAAAGCAAACGUUUGGCUUGGAUCUAGUUUUUUUUUGUAAUUUUUUCUACACCAGUUGAGUUGAGAGAAAAAACUGGGAACAUAGAUUCGGUUUGCGAAUAAUUUUUUGGAGCUAAUCUUUCUACCUAACGCUUUGUUGAAACCUUACGAGUUUAGAGUAUGUAAGGACAUUUCCAGUUUGGACGAGGAUAUCAAUGAUUUGCAAUAAGGCGGAUCAUUGGAUGCGAAUACCAAAAGGCUGCUUUUCAAUAUUUAAAAAAAAAAUACAUAUAUAAAACUUUAA